UCCUCUGGUCAAGAUAAGGUCCUCUAUAAAGUCUGUUACUAUCAUUACUGGAUACCUCCAGUAGUCGUGAAGGGAGUCAAACUGAACUAACCAACAAUGACUCAUUCUCCUUCAUCAAACCAGAUCUAUCAGAGAAAGCCAAACAACUCUCCCAGCGCCUUCAAGACUCUCUCUCCUCCAACAUAACAGAAGCAAAGAGAAAGAAA